rnacentral:rRNA from 1 species
UACGAAGGGGGCUAGCGUUGUUCGGAAUUACUGGGCGUAAAGCGCACGUAGGCGGAUGUUUAAGUUAGGGGUGAAAUCCCAGGGCUCAACCCUGGAACUGCCUCUAAUACUGGGCAUCUAGAGUCCGAGAGAGGUGAGUGGAAUUCCGAGUGUAGAGGUGAAAUUCGUAGAUAUUCGGAGGAACACCAGCGGCGAAGGCGGCUCACUGGCCCGUUACUGACGCUGAGGCACGAAAGCGUGGGGAGCAAACAGG